rnacentral:rRNA from 1 species
UGGGGAAUAUUGGACAAUGGGCGAAAGCCUGAUCCAGCCAUGCCGCGUGUGUGAAGAAGGUCUACGGAUUGUAAAGCACUUUAGGUUGGGAGGAAGGGUACUUACCUAAUACGUGAGUAUUUUGACGUUACCGACAGAAUAAGCACCGGCUAACUCUGUGCCAGCAGCCGCGGUAUACAGAGGGUGCAAGCGUUAAUCGGAAUUACUGGGCGUAAAGCGCACGUAGGUGGUUUGUUAAGUUGGAUGUGAAAGCCCCGGGCUCAACCUGGGAACUGCAUCCAAAACUGGCAAGCUAGAGUAUGGUAGAGAGUGGUGGAAUUUCCUGUGGAGCGAUGAAAUGAGUAGAUAUAGGAAGGAACACCAGUGGCGAGGGCGACCACCUGGACUGAUACUGACACUGAGGUGCGAAAGCGUGGGGAGCAAACA